UAGUCCACACCGUAAACGAUGGAAGCUAGCCGUCGGGUUGCAUGCAAUUCGGUGGCGCAGUUAACGCAUUAAGCUUCCCGCCUGGGGAGUACGGUCGCAAGACUAAAACUCAAAGGAAUUGACGGGGGCCCGCACAAGCGGUGGAGUAUGUGGUUUAAUUCGAAGCAACGCGCAGAACCUUACCUACCCUUGACAUCCCAGGACAAUCACAGAGAUGUGACUUUCUCUUCGGAGACCUGGUGACAGAUGCUGCAUGGCUGUCGUCAGCUCGUGUCGUAAGAUGUUCGGUUAAGUCCGGUAACGAGCGCAACCCUUAUCUUUAGUUGCCAGCAUUAAGUUGGGCACUCUAGAGAGACUGCCGGUGUCAAACCGGAGGAAGGCGGGGAUGACGUCAAGUCCUCAUGGCUCUUACGGGUAGGGCUACACACGUACUACAAUGGCAGAAACAGACGGCCGCAAAACCGCGAGGUCAAGCUAAUCCGUAAAACACUGUCUCAGUCCGGAUUGGAGUCUG
rnacentral:rRNA from 1 species